rnacentral:rRNA from 1 species
AAUAGAUACCCGGGUAGUCCACGCCGUAAACGAUGAGUGCUAAGUGUUAGAGGGUUUCCGCCCUUUAGUGCUGAAGUUAACGCAUUAAGCACUCCGCCUGGGGAGUACGGCCGCAAGGCUGAAACUCAAAGGAAUUGACGGGGGCCCGCACAAGCGGUGGAGCAUGUGGUUUAAUUCGAAGCAACGCGAAGAACCUUACCAGGUCUUGACAUCCUCUGACAACCCUAGAGAUAGGGCUUCUCCUUCGGGAGCAGGGUGACAGGUGGUGCAUGGUUGUCGUCAGCUCGUGUCGUGAGAUGUUGGGUUAAGUCUCGCAACGAGCGCAACCCUUGAUCUUAGUUGCCAUCAUUAAGUUGGGCACUCUAAGGUGACUGCUGGUGACAAACCGGAGGAAGGUGGGGAUGACGUCAAAUCAUCAUGCCCCUUAUGACCUGGGCUACACACGUGCUACAAUGGACGGUCAAAGCGCAGCCAACCCGCGAGGGGGAGCAAAUCGCAUCAAAGCCGGUCUCAGUUCGGAUUGCAGG